AAACUGCGAUAAGUAACGUGAAUUGCAGACGCUUUGAACGUUAAACUUUCGAACGCACAUUGCGCCGUAGGAGUCCGACCCUACGGCACGUCUGGCUGAGGGUCGUGAUCAAAAACAGCCGCACAGUAGCUGGAAUGAACGAAUUGGUGAAUCACGUUACGGCCUACCCGUACUCGUGCCGUACGUGUUUUGCCAUUGUGCUCUAGAGGAUAGCGUGGCUCUUCGGAACCUGCGGCUACCUACCACACGGACGGGCUAUUAGCUGAGGCGAUAAAUUCCGGCCUUAGGGUAUCAUACUACGUUUUCGUAUAUGCUCUUCGGCGUCUGGAAUACAGCUGGUUGGUUUCGUACGUGCUUGGUGAAAGUAAAUCGCUUUCCCGACCUCAACUCAGGUGUGAUU
rnacentral:misc_RNA from 1 species